rnacentral:lncRNA from 1 species
GCCAAAUCACCACCUGCUUAUCCUCUGGGAAUAUUUUACGCCUUGUUGAUGGGAGAGCCAAGAGAAGGGUGUGGACAUUGGGGUGCCCCCUUCGCCAGCCUUCCUCACUGAGGCUUCUCCCGCACUGCUGUCCCCUCUGCUUCCUUUUAGCCUGUUUCAAUAGCUACCUCCUUCAGUGCCCUACAUAUAAAUGGUUACCAUAUUUCCUAGCGAGAGUCGGGCUGUGAUAGAGCUAGAUCCUGACUUGCUAUGAUCUGACGGCACCGAAGAUAAACACAGCGGGUGGAUAAUUUCCUGACUUUGAAUUGUUUUACUUGCCAUCCCUGAUACCUCUUGCUGUUUCUAGAAAGUAGGCCAUUUUGUAAUCCAAUUGCAGUGAAUUUCACUGAAAAAGAAAAAAAAGGGGGUGGCGGGGGGGAAAGCAAGCUGAGAGAAGUUUCGAAUUGUUUCAACGUGCUCGCCCCUGUCUUAAAAUUGAGAGCAAAACUAAAAUAGUCCUGGUGCAAAAAUGCAAACAAAAUACAAAUCUCCCCUUCACACAUGCUAUUUCUGUGGGAGCUGGCCUUUUUUGCUCUGAACACUGAUUAGGAAAAAAACAACUCAGAUCAUGACACACAUAAGAAUGACUUCAUUUUUUGGUGGCCUUAUUGGUGGUCUCCUCAAGGUCAGAACAUUUGAGGAGCAUUCAUAAAUGGAAUUGCUUAGUCGCGUUCUGUAUUUUUCGAUCUCUUUUCCUGCUCUCCCCUUCAGAUUUCACAGUGAACUUUUUGAAACCCAACUAGACGAGACCCUGUGUGAAGCAGUCAAGACAGAAUCACCGGAAGACAGUGGCAAUGAGGGAAAAGAAGGCUAUCGUGAGGAUGAAAUGGACUCCAGCCCUGAUCCUUCCAAUGGCAUGGAGGUCGAACAGCCUGAACCAACUGCCUCAAAGGAAGGGGCUCCCGCUCGAGAAACGGCCCAGAGAACAUUUCUAGAUUUUGUUUUUGGAGAUCUUCCUCCAAAGUCACUGAUCAAGAUCAAACCCUUCUUUCCAAAACCACCACUACCUCAGCGAAGACCACAAACAAAGCCGCCGUUCUUUGUCACUGAAACUUGUGACACUCCUGAAAACAGAAGACAGGAACCCAUCACAGAUGCUCUGAAAAACACAGAGAAGAAAGACCAUCUGAAGAAACAUUUUGUUCGGAUCGGGGGCAUGUUGGUUUUGCCAGUACCUGUAGAUGGUCCACUCUUCACCGAUGAGGAAAAAUGAAUGUGGACCAUGGGAUUGCAGAGGAGAGCAAGAUCUCGCAGCUGGAAACGUGCUACUAUGUUUUAGAUAAUAAAGUCACAGACUGGCGAUGACUCUCCA